GUGAAAAAUUGUGAAUCAACUGGAACUGAAAGGAGGCAGCAGUGUAUCCCGGGUUAUCAUGCCGAGUGCUAUCGUCACUUCUGCAACAUUACAA